AUGGUUUUCCUCCUGAUUCUCCUCGUCGCCCCCGCGCCCGAUUCCCAAGCGCCGCCAGCCUCCAGGAGCUGCCGCCCGCGUCUGCCACCGCCUCCUUCCGUCGCUCCGCUCGCCCGUAUCUGUCUCACUACCAGGCCGGAGCCCCGUCGCCACCCGCCGCCGUUGGCGACCACUAGGAGGACCACCCCGUGCGCGACGUCUCCCCUCUGCUUCCUCGUCCUCGCCUCGUACCUCGCCACCGCUGGAGCUGCUCCGCCGCCCCGCGCUGGAGCCGUCGUUCCCAGGCCGCUGCCGUGCCAUCUCGCCUCCUGCAGCCCGAGCGCCACCACCGGAGUUGCUCCGUCCGCUGCGCGCUACCCCGAGCCCCAAGCUGCUCCACCCCUUGCUUCGCCUCAUGCCCGACGGCUUGACCAACGCUGCCCUGCACCAGCUCGUGUGUCCGCGCGUGUAGCCACGGCUGCCAUGGCUAAGGGUUUUUCGUGCGUCGCCGGGAGCUCCUCCAAUUGUUGCCCCGUACACCGCAUUGCUGCUGCCGCUGGAUUGCCGAGACCGAUCCCCCGAGGAACCUCGUGUUCAACUACACAACGAGCGCCAAGUACCACUACGAUUGCCGCUGCGCUUCUACGGACGCAAAAACCGGACCGACAAGUACCCCAACGUUACCAUGUACCACUACCGUCGCAAGAACCGAGACCAGCAAGUCCGAAGACCCCAAGUACCACGACUACCCUUGAGGACGUUGGCUCCGUCAAGUUCGACUACAACACGUGUACAACUACCAUCGCCGUGUACCACUACUUCCACUACCGUCGCGAGAACGUCUACUUCCGCUACGGCCGAGUACAACUACUUCCACUACCGCCGACAUGUACGACUACGACACGAGUACAACUACUUCCACUACGACCCGCGAGUACCACUACUUUCCUCGACGAGAUCAAACCACUCCGAAAUGCACGCUUCGAAGCUUCGGUUUCAUUCCGGAGUUGUGAGGAUUCGUUCGACUAUGUCCGUUUGUCUUCUUCAUGGAAUCGUUCUUCUUCCUUGCGGGAUCUCAGGUGCCUAUGUUACCGAGCAGGUGACGCAACCAAGCUCAAGGAGGAGCUCGUUGAAGAUCUUGCCCUUUGUGUUGUUUCGUUCUAG
rnacentral:rRNA from 1 species